AAUUAAAGAUAAAAAGCUCUCAAGAUUUAUAGAAAAUUAUAAUUUUAAGAAAAUUAAUCAUUCCAACUUUAUUUCAUUUUAUAAAGAAUUAAAAAAGUCAACAAUAAUGCCUAACAGAUUAUAAAGAGAUCUAAUGAAUUUUAGAAAAUCCAAUAAAAGAUUUAAACCGAAACAAAUACUGAAAUAGAGAGAAUGACUUGAAACAAACAACCAGAGAACUUAUAAUUCUUCAAUUCAAUCCUUAACAUAAGGAGCGCACGAUUUGCUUAAACUUUCUUUUAAUCUUUUUUUUUUUUUUCUGUAGCUAAUGCAGGAUAUAUCGCAAGAUCAAAAGGGCUAAAACAUGAGGUACGCAUCAUCGAGGUAACACGGCAAAGAACUCAAAUGAAAAUGCAAACCAAGUGGAUAAUCGACUGACAGUGGCACAACGGUGAUCAGAAGUGGCUGAGAAAGGAAAGCAAACGAACAGAGAGACAUAUAGGCUGUUUCACAGUUGCUAGACAUAUAAUAGAUAUCCAAGUUUCAAUAUGAAUAUAAGUUUUUUGUGAUUUAAAAAUAAAUUUACUGUGAACAUUCAUUUUUU